rnacentral:sRNA from 1 species
UUUCUAGCCUGCUGGCCUGCCUUCACUGUCCUGGGGGACGCUUGGGGAGACCAGGUGGACUGGAGUAGACUGUUGAGAGACGCUGGUCUGGUGAAGAUGUCCAGGAAACCACGAGCCUCCAGCCCAUUUUCCAACAACCACCCACCAACACCAAAGAGGUGAGGAAGUGGAAAGUUCCCAAGACAACCCGGAAGGGAAAAGGGACCCAUCAAGGAAGUUCCAGGAACAAAAGGCUCUCCCUAAAAGACCACCGCUUCAAAAAAAACCUGAGGAAUGGAGUGGGUCAACACUAUCCAGCCACUCUGACCAGCCGAACGAGGAACUCAAUCAAAAUGCACCACAGCAGGACCACAAGGGCAAGGAGACCACCACCUUCUCCAGUGCUUCCUUGGGCGCCAGUAAUUCCUGGGCAAGGCCAGAGACUUCAAGUCUAUCUGAAAAGUCUCCAGAGGUCUAACCUCAGAUAAAUAGCCAACAGGGUGUAAAAUAAAUAGAGUACAUUUUACACCCCAAAGGGUAUGCCCCAUGGUGAUGGAAAUAAAAUGAACAUGUUGUAAAAUGA